rnacentral:rRNA from 1 species
UACGUAGGGUCCGAGCGUUGUCCGGAUUUAUUGGGCGUAAAGCGCGUGUAGGCGGCGUGACAAGUCGGGUGUGAAAGCCCUCAGCUCAACUGAGGAAGUGCGCCCGAAACGGUCGUGCUUGAGUGCCGGAGAGGGUGGCGGAAUUCCCCAAGUAGAGGUGAAAUUCGUAGAUAUGGGGAGGAACACCGGUGACGAAGGCGGCCACCUGGACGGUAACUGACGCUGAGACGCGAAAGCGUGGGGAGCAAACAGG